rnacentral:rRNA from 1 species
GACGAACGCUGGCGGCGUGCUUAACACAUGCAAGUCGAACGGAAAGGCCCUGCUUUUGUGGGGUGCUCGAGUGGCGAAAGGGUGAGUAACACGUGAGUAACCUGCCCUUGACUUUGGGAUAACUUCAGGAAACUGGGGCUAAUACCGGAUAGGAGCUCCUGCUGCAUGGUGGGGGUUGGAAAGUUUCGGCGGUUGGGGAUGGACUCGCGGCUUAUCAGCUUGUUGGUGGGGUAGUGGCUUACCAAGGCUUUGACGGGUAGCCGGCCUGGGAGGGUGACCGGCCACAUUGGGACUGAGAUACGGCCCAGACUCCUACGGGAGGCAGCAGUGGGGAAUAGUGCACAAUGGGCGGAAGCCUGAUGCAGCAACGCCGCGUGCGGGAUGACGGCCUUCGGGUUGUAAACCGCUUUCGCCUGUGACGAAGCGUGAGUGACGGUAAUGGGUAAAGAAGCACCGGCUAACUACGUG